AUUGAACGCUGGCGGCAUGCCUUACACAUGCAAGUCGAACGGCAGCACGGGUGCUUGCACCUGGUGGCGAGUGGCGAACGGGUGAGUAAUACAUCGGAACGUACCUUAUCGUGGGGGAUAACGCAGCGAAAGUUGCGCUAAUACCGCAUACGCCCUGAGGGGGAAAGCGGGGGACCGUAAGGCCUCGCGCGAUUAGAGCGGCCGAUGUCUGAUUAGCUUGUUGGUGAGGUAAGAGCUCACCAAGGCGAUGAUCAGUAGCUGGUCUGAGAGGACGAUCAGCCACACUGGGACUGAGACACGGCCCAGACUCCUUCGGGAGGCAGCAGUGGGGAAUUUUGGACAAUGGGGGCAACCCUGAUCCAGCAAUGCCGCGUGAGUGAAGAAGGCCUUCGGGUUGUAAAGCUCUUUUGUCAGGGAAGAAACAGCAGCUCUAACACAGUCUGCGAAUGACGGUACCUGAAGAAUAAGCACCGGCUAACUACGUG
rnacentral:rRNA from 1 species